GGGGCUGACUUGGAUUUCGACAGGAGUUAUAUCAUCUAGGUUGCAUGUCGGAUGGCAUUCCGUAAUCCUGCCACUUUAAAAUUAAACGCAAACAAUACAAAUUACGCUCCAGCUUACGCAAAAGUAGCGUAAGUUUAUCUUAGCUUUCGGAGCUAGCAAUAUGGAAAUGCCUACUACCCAUAGCGCUAUCAUCAAGUAGGCUAUGCUUUUUUUGCUGUCAAAAAGAAAAAGCUAAAUAAACGACUGCUUGCAUAAGAGGUUUUGAUUUUUGCACACUUAUGCAAAAAGACCAAGCAAAUCUCAAAAGCAUGUAUAAAUAUCUUGAUAGUUAUGAUUUUUGGACUGGGGUUCAAUUCCCCACAGCUCCACCA
rnacentral:tmRNA from 1 species